rnacentral:rRNA from 1 species
GACGAACGCUGGCGGCGUGCUUAACACAUGCCAGUCGAACGGAAAGGCCCUGCUUUUGUGGGGUGCUCGAGUGGCGAACGGGUGAGUAACACGUGAGUAACCUGCCCUUGACUUUGGGAUAACUUCAGGAAACUGGGGCUAAUACCGGAUAGGAGCUCCUGUUGCAUGGUGGGGGUUGGAAAGUUUCGGCGGUUGGGGAUGGACUCGCGGCUUAUCAGCUUGUUGGUGGGGUAGUGGCUUACCAAGGCUUUGACGGGUAGCCGGCCUGAGAGGGUGACCGGCCACAUUGGGACUGAGAUACGGCCCAGACUCCUACGGGAGGCAGCAGUGGGGAAUAUUGCACAAUGGGCGGAAGCCUGAUGCAGCAACGCCGCGUGCGGGAUGACGGCCUUCGGGUUGUAAACCGCUUUCGCCUGUGACGAAGCGUGAGUGACGGUAAUGGGUAAAGAAGCACCGGCUAACUACGUG